rnacentral:rRNA from 1 species
GACGAACGCUGGCGGCGUGGAUUAGGCAUGCAAGUCGAACGGUAUCAUCCUUUCGGGGGUGAGAGAGUGGCGAACUGGUGAGUAACACGUAGGUUAUCUACCCUCAAGACGGGGACAACCCAGGGAAACUUGGGCUAAUACCGGAUGUGAGCAACUUUUAGUUGUUUGAAAGGUGGCGUAAGCUGUCGCUUGGGGAUGAGCCUGCGUCCUAUUAGUUAGUUGGUGAGGUAACGGCUCACCUAGGCAAUGAUAGGUAGGCGGCCUUAACGGGUGGUCGCCCACACUGGGAUUGAGAUACGGCCCAGACUCCUACGGGAGGCAGCAGUCGAGAAUAGUCUACAAUGGUCGGAAGACUGAUAGUGCGACGCCGCGUGAACGAUGAAUCCCUUCGGGGUUAAAGUUCUUUUAUAUGUGAGCAGUGCUUCUUAUAUUAACAGUAUGGGGAAGAGAUAUUAGCAUAUGAAUAAGCAACGGCUAACUCCGUGCCAGCAGCCGACGGUAAAA